AAGGCCCUACGGGGGGCAGCAGUGGGGAAUUUUGCGCAAUGGGGGAAACCCUGACGCAGCAACGCCGCGUGCGGGAUGACGGCCCUCGGGUUGUAAACCGCUUUCAGCAGGGAAGAUAUUGACGGUACCUGCAGAAGAAGCUCCGGCUAACUACGUGCCAGCAGCCGCGGUAAUACGUAGGGAGCGAGCGUUAUCCGGAUUCAUUGGGCGUAAAGCGCGCGUAGGCGGCUGCCUAAGCGGAACCUCUAACCCCGGGGCUCAACCUCGGGCCGGGCUCCGAACUGGGCGGCUCG
rnacentral:rRNA from 1 species